AGCUAACAAUUUUUUCCGAGGGCUCUGAUGUCCGAUUUUUUGUCGAGAUUUUCUGCCGUUUCUUCAGAAAAGUUUCCGAGUAAUCUGCACAUACUCGUUUCUUUUGUUUUGUUUGAACAAAACAAAGCUAAAGAGAAAAAAACAGCGUAUACAGAGAUUUAACUCUUUUUUGGCGAGAAUUUCUAAUGUUACUCCAGAAAAGUUUCCGAGUAAUCUGCACAUACUCGUUUCUUUUGUUUUGAAAAAAAAAAAAAAAAAAAAAAAACACAAAAAUUCUGACAUUAGCAGAGAGUUAACUUUUUUCUGUUGAGAUUUAUUUUACCGUUCCUUUCGAAAAGUUUCCGAGUACUCUGCACAUGCUCGGUUUAAAUUAAUUGAAGAAUUUUGUGUAUACAACUUUUUUGUUUUUUUGAUUAUGAUCAGUUUGUCGUCAGAAUUUGAACGGAGCACGAGUGCAGUGUGUUGCAGUGAAAAGUUAAAAUGAAAAUUAAAGGAAGAUUUGGACCUUCAGUACCUUAUGCUACGCCGUUUAAAAAAUCAACGCCAUGACAAUGUAAACACUUUUACAUAUGAAAAUUUUAAACUUAUUUUUCAAACUGGCGAGGUCAACGUUUUCGUGGCACGAAAUGUACCAAAAUACAGCUGUAAAGGACAUCUAAUUUAUUAGGCUCGUUAAAGAUGCGGCAUUGGAACAUAUUCCGGGAACUAUGGGAAGUGCCAUAUAAACCCAUAUAAAACAUUUCUUCAAAUCGGCUAAAGAUAGGCUUAACAAACCUUAAGCUGGGCCAAAAUCGAACUCAGUCAACCUUAAACUCCUUUUUCAUCUGCGAAUAAGCCAGCCGAUGACUUGAUCCAGCCAAAUAUGCGCUUUAUAUAU